GAUAAACGCUGGCGGCGCACAUAAGACAUGCAAGUCGAACGGACUUAACUCAUUCUUUUAGAUUGAGAGCGGUUAGUGGCGGACUGGUGAGUAACACGCAAGCAACCUGCCUAUUAGAGGGGAAUAACAGUGAGAAAUCAUUGCUAAUACCGCAUAUGCCUUAGUAACACAUGUUACAAAAGGGAAAGGAGCAAUCCGCUGAUAGAUGGGCUUGCGUCUGAUUAGAUAGUUGGUGAGGUAACGGCUCACCAAGUCGACGAUCAGUAGCCGGACUGAGAGGUUGAACGGCCACAUUGGGACUGGGAUACGGCCCAG
rnacentral:rRNA from 1 species